CCUACGGGGCGCAGCAGUGGGGGAUAUUGGACAAUGGGGGGAACCCUGAUCCAGCGACGCCGCGUGAGUGAAGAAGUAUUUCGGUAUGUUAAGCUCUGUUAGCAGGGAAGAAAGAAAUGACGGUACCUGACUAAGAAGCCUCGGCUAACUACGUGCCAGCAGCCGCGGUAAUACGUAGGGGGCAAGCGUUAUCCGGAAUUACUGGGUGUAAAGGGAGCGUAGACGGUUAAGUAAGUCUGGAGUGAAAGGCCGGGGCCCAACCCCGGGACUGCUCUGGAAACUGUUGAACUUGAGUGCAGGAGAGGUAGGCGGAAUUCGUGGUGUAGCGGUGAAAUGCUUAGAUAUUAGGAAGAACACCAAUGGCGAAGGCAGCUUACUGGACUGCAACUGACGUUGAGGCUCGAAAGCGUGGGGAGCAAACAGGAUUAGAUACCCGAGUAGUC
rnacentral:rRNA from 1 species